AUCUGGAUUGUAAUCGGGAUUAGUUGAAGGUUUCUUCCUUCCUUUCGGAACCCCGAAAUCAGCGCCAGGAGCCAGGAAGUGACGACACACAGCUGCUGGUGUCGACUUUCUGAGGAAGAGGAGGAGGAGGAGGAAGAGCAGCGCGGCUAAUUUGGGCCGCAAAGUCAGAGGGGGUUCGGUUCGGUUCGGCCUGAGGAGCAACUCCGGUCCACCGCAGUUUUGAUAGGGCGGGUCCUGGUUACCAUGGAGACAGCCAAUGAAAGCGAGGAGCGCAGCGACCAGGCGGUCCAUGAUGAAGAGGAGGAGGUGCGAGGAGUUCAGGCUCGUUACCUGCGCUGCCCGUCUCCUAGCUUCUCCAUGACCUCCCUGACCUCCAGGUUCUCUGACGCCUCCUCCAUCGUCAUGGAGCCCAUCCAUCUGUCGUCAGCCGUCGCUGCCAAGAAGAUCAUCAGCGAAGAGCUGCCGCCCCAUGCCGCCCGCCCCGAGUCGGUCCCGGAGUCCAUGCUGGAGUCCGCGGAGCAGCUGAUGGUGGAGGACCUGUACAACCGGGUCCGAGACAUGCUGGACGACCGCAGCCCCUACAACACGCCCUGCGUGCUGGACAUCCAGAGGGCCAUGGUCCAGGACCGGCUGGAGGCGCCCGCCAACCCGGUGGACGAAGUCUGGCCCAACAUCCUCAUCGGCGAGAAAUCCGUUGCGGUCAACAAGGCCCGUCUGAAGAGAAUGGGCAUCACGCACAUCCUGAACACGGCCCACGGUACCGGCGUCUACACCGGCCAGGCCUUCUACGCCAACAUGGACAUCCAGUACCGAGGAAUCGAGCUGGACGACUUCCCCGACGCCGACAUUGCCGCACACUUCAGGCCCGCCGCAGAGUUCCUGGACGAGGCUCUGCUCACACACAAAGGAAAAGUUCUGGUUGUGUCCAUGAUGGGCGUCAGCCGGUCGGCCAUUCUGGUGGCGUCCUACCUGAUGAUCUUCCAGAACAUGACGAUCAUGGAGGCGCUGACCACCAUCAGGAAGAAACGGGCCAUCAACCCCAACGAAGGCUUCCUGAAGCAGCUGAGAGAGUUCAACGAGACGCUGAUGGAGGAACGCGACGACGACGACGAAACGCUCAGCCAGUGCUCUGUGAUCGACGCCCGCGCACGUAUCUUCGGUGAGGAAAGGGGUGAUGAUGAUGAAGAGACAGAUGGGGAGGAAGAGCGGAGCGUGGUGAAGGUGAAGGCGCAGUCCAUCAUGAUGGAGGAAGAGGAAGAUAGAGAGAGCGUGAUGACCAGCAUCGCUUCUUCAGCGGCGGCUGCGGCGCUACGAAACGGGCCACUCCACAAUGGCGAUCAGGAACUGGAUCACCGGGAGAUCGACCUGCCGGGUCAAACGGCCACGGAGGACGGAGCCGAAGAUGACGACGACGGCCUGGACAGCAUGAUCCGCGAGUGGCAGCGCAGAAAUGAAAAGUACCAGAGCGAGGAGUGGUGGGAGGCCCAGCUCCACGGCGAGGAGGAAUCCAUCAGCGCCGGCCAUCCCAAGGCAGCGAGACAGGAAGACGACAGGGAGAGCGUCACUAGCGAGGACGUCCGAGCUGUCAAAGAGAGACUAAGGCACAGGAACAAGAGGCCCUCCUCGAACACCAUGUCCACCUCCAGCUGCACCAGUUACUCUGACCUCUGGAAGCAGCGACUCAAAGAGAUCGAGGAACAAGCCGCGGCUCGCUACCGCAAGACGGAGGACCACGAAGGUACCGAGAGCACGAGGACGGAGGGCGGAAACACAAACAUUGAUGCUGAGGUUGAAAGCAUCCUCUCUGACACCAGCUCCAUGUACAACUUUUGCCAAAAGAAUAAGGAGAAGAUGACGCCUUUGGAGCGCUGGCGCAUCAAGAGGAUCCAGUUCGGCUGGAACAAAAAAGACCGAGAGGACGGAGAGAAAAGUUCAGCUACUGAUGGAGAGGAAGAAAGUAAGACUCCGUCCUUCCAGGAUGUCAAUCUGACGGCAUACCAGGCCUGGAAACUGCGGCAACAGAAACGCCUCGGUGAGGAAAACACGGAGGAGAUCCUGGAACUCAGCCGCGGCGACGACUCGGCAACCAUCAAACGGAGGCAGAGACGUGAAGUGAUUCUGGAGCGCUCUAAGAAAACCUUGGAGGAGAGUCAGUCCAUGUGUGGAUGGGAUUCAGAAAGCUGCGUCAGCGGCGGGACGAUUCCUCUGUCCGCCUUCUGGGCAGGAGCUGGAGUCACCGGCCCGCCCAGUGUUGCCAAUGACGACAACAUGUCCAUGCUGAGUGGCAGGUCAUCCACCAUAUCCACUGUUUCACAACGUCGGAGUGCAAGAUCCACUCAGUCCGCCAGCCAAGCCCUGCCCCCAGUCCUCCCAGUCCCAGCUGUGCCAGGGCCUGCAGGUGAGCCCAUGGUCAACCUCACCAGCAUUCAGAACUGGAUCGCCAACGUAGUGACUGAAACGAUCAAGCAGAAGCAGAGCGAACUGAGCCUGCCUCCUUCAUCAUGUGCUGGAUCCGAGCUCAGCUUUGGAGCAGCGCCUAACAUGGUAGCAGGCCGCGGUGCGGAGGACGACAGGGUCAGCUGGGCGUCCUACUCCAGCACUCUAUCAAAGGCCCACGGCAGAGCAACAUCUGUCCUCUCCGGUGGCAGCAGCAUGUCCGGUCUGAGUGGGCAACGCUCCGCUCUGGGCUCCAAGAAAACCAAGAUCACCACGACCAGCGUUCCUCUCUUCAGCCUCUUCCAAGACCAGGUCAACCUGGGCAAACUGGACGCCAUAGAGAAGGAGAUCAGGUCUGAAAUGAGGGAGAAAGGGGAAACCUAUGAGAAGAAAAAGAUCCUGGAAGACAACAAACGCAGCACGCUGUACAAGAAAAAGAAACUAAAGGAAGAUGAGGAUGAGGAGCAGGACAGGAUGAGGAAAGAGGAAGAGUUUCUCGAAGAAACAAAGAAAAAGGAGAAACCCAAAAGAAGCUACGGUCUUUCCGGCUGCCUAAAUCUCAACCCAGUGAUAGAGAAAGACCAGAACACCAGCAUUGACGACUGGCUGAGAAGUGUGAGACCUCCUCCAGGCAAACUGACCUCAGCUGCUGAGGCUGAUCCGUCUCAGGAUCCCUACGACGAUCUGGACGCCUCCGCCUCCCAGUUUGACUUCUCUGAUCACAGAGGCCCGUUUGCUGCUGAAGAAGACGACGAGGAAGCAUUCGGAGUGACUUCCAGAUAUCGGCCGAGGUUCGGCAAAGAAGCUGAAUGCUCCUGCAACGGGUUCACACAGUCCCACAGACGAGCGGGUCGGUCCAGCGAGGACGGGACGGACGGCGUUUCGCUCCACCGGAGAUUCGCUCAUCGCUCACGGUACGACGGCAGCGAAGCCGCAGGGAGGCGGGACGCCAGCAGCGAGGAGGAGGAGGAGGACGAGGACGAGGACGUUGAGGCUUUCAUUGCUCAAACCAGACGCAGGAUCCGGGCUCGGGCCGCCGCGGAGGCCGAGGAUGACGAAGUCCUCUGUGCCUGGAGGGAGCAGCAGGGAGCCAAGGCCCGGAGAAGAGUCUUGGGAUGUGAAGAAUGAGAGCUUUGAGUUCGCAGCUCUGCCGCCAAAAACAACAGUUUGGUGUUUUUUGUUUGGGACGGGAACCAGGUUGGACAACACUAACCUACUGGAACCGCUUGGACUGGACUUCCUCUGCGGCUCUGAAUUACCGUCACCACCUACUGGCCACCUGGAGCUGAAGGUUUUCAGAUGAUGCACAUGGAUGGAUUUGACGCUGUGAAAACAUGAACAGGACAACGUGUCUGUUAACGACUCUCCUUAUUCUGCUCUGAGGCUGAGGAAAAUUAGAACCAAGGAGAAAGAAAACAGGAAGCAGAGAGGAUUACAUCACAAACCUGGAGAAAACAAAGAAACGAUGGAAAAAGGAACAAAUGCAAACGAGGAAACGGAUCGCUCUAAAAGCUUCACUCCAUCUCUUGCUGAACCUCUAAAGCAGAAAGAGAGCCAGAUCCUCCUCUGUGGGAACAUUAUCUCACACCACCGAGCAGCAACAAAGACUGGGAGCACUGGGAGCACUGGGAGCACUGGGACUUCCAGCCAGAUCCAGCAGCGGGUUUCCCAGCAGCGGACUGAACCUGCAGACUCGUUUCACCUGAAGGCAUCAGAGGCUGAUGGACGCCGCCGGGCCGCCGCCUAUGGAGGACAGGAAACAGGAAGUUACAGAAAACAAAGGAAGCAAAGGUAAAGGAGGUCCAAACUCCCCUAAGAGCAAGGCUGAAAUGGAUGACGAGGAGAAAAGCAGCAGCCAGUCCAAGUACAAAACCGUGUCUUACAAGAAGAUCCGCAAAGGAAACACGCGGCAGAGGAUCGACGAGUUCGAGGUCAUGUUUGACUUGUGAUGAAGAGCUGGAGGGCCGAGGACAGAGCCUGGAGGCGCUCCGCUGUAGAUCCACAGAAUGUUCAGUAUGAUUGUUUUCAGACUUUAACCGGACCGGAACGGGUCGGACCGGACCGGAUCUCUCUCCCCUGCACACCUCAGAUCUCACCCUUACUGAUUUUUUCCUCCAUAAAAUUCAGAAAACUGAAACCUGAUGUUUUCAUUUCCAGGAUGUAAACGUUGAGGAGAAACUUCAAAUGUUUUAUAGAGAAAAGAACUAAUAUUUGUUAGAGAGUGAAUGAGUGGAAAACUCCAGGACAGAGUGAAAUGGUUAAUCUAGUCUUUUCUGACU